GAGGGUAUAGCUCAAGUGGUAGAGUGUGUGCUUAGCAUGCAUGAGGUCCUGGGUUCAACCCCCAGUGUCUCCG
rnacentral:tRNA from 1 species